GAAAAUCCGACAGAAAGUUCAUCUCUAGCGACACUUGCUCCCCUUCAAGCAGUUCUAUUUGAUGUAGACGGAACUUUAUGUGAUUCAGAUCCUCUUCACUACUAUGCCUUCCGUGAAAUGCUUCUAGAGAUAGGCUACAAUCAGGGUGUGCCAGUUGAUGAGGAGUGGUUUAUCAAGACUAUUGCUGGGAAACACAACGAUGAUAUUGCUUCUGCCCUUUUUCCUGAUGAUCAGGAACGGGGUCUUAAAUUUUGUGAUGAAAAGGAAGCUAUGUUUAGAAGGUUGGUGAAAGAACAGUUGAAACCUAUAGAUGGUUUGUACAAGGUGAAGAAAUGGAUUGAAGAUCGUGGACUGAAA
rnacentral:misc_RNA from 1 species